UUACAUAACUUUUUUUGUCUCAAGUUUUGUUGAAUUUUGUGAUAGCAAAGGACUGGAUUUCAUAGCUGGCUUUUGUGGACCUUAAUGACCAAUGAGAUUUUAGCUCCCUUUCUACUUAAGCUCUCCAAUUUCGCCCUUUACUUAUUGAUGUAAUUAAGCUUUGAAUACAAAGAAUUUAUAAAAUCUAGCACAACCACUUUUUCUUUUGCAGAAUUUAUGGUUUUUAAUUUCAUUUGGGACAUUAAUGUGAUAUGGGUACUUGCUAAUUUUAACGGAAAUGGUUCAUGUUUCAAUGUUUGAGUUAAUUUGCCUCUUGUUUAAAUAAAAUCUAUUGUGAAUGAGUAAUUUGAUUUGACAAAGGAAGUAGAUUUUGUAUUAAAUUUGAAUAUUUUUCACGGGGUAGUCAAUUUGCUUGAGAGUUGAGAUGAAUCUUUAGUUAUAGGCUUACUCAAUUGCUAUAUGAAUGGUGAUGAUGCAGUACUUCUAUUGAAUAUGAGCCAAUACUUUAUUAUGAGCAUCAAUUUAUUUUGAGUUAUCUUUGUUCACUGUGUAACUAAUAAGUUCAGAAUUGAUGCACCUGGACGAUCCGCUCAGUACUGAUCUAAGAAAUAUGAGUGCUUUAGCAAAGGUUUAUUUAUCAGCUUUACACAUUAUAUACCUAUACUUUAGAACUUAGUUACUUGCCAUUUUCAACCAAUUUGAUUAGUAAGUGCCUCUAUUGAUAUCCUUCGCAGAUAAUGUGGCAAAGGUGUAUUGAUAGAGGAGCCUUGACACUUGCUUUUGCCAGAGCUCAAGUUCCUGAUUGAUAUAAGCCUCGUGACACUCUCCACAUGGAUGAUGCAGUGAGAAAAGUGAUGAGAAUAAUGCUUCUCUGAAAGCUCUGGAAGAUGCAAUUACCACAAGAAUUUAAAAUAUUGGAGACAAAAGUAAAUUGGAAACAGGGAUGGUAAAGGAAGCAUGUGACAUCGAGAAGCAUCAUAUGCAGUUAGCUGAAAGCUACGAUCUCAAAUCUAAGCUGCAGAUAGCUUGUCAGGAAUGAUCUUUCUUCUUUCUGAGCUAUUGUCUCAAAUCUAAGCUGCAGAUAGAUGUUGGUCCUUGUACAUGGGUAGGAAAGCUGAUAAGCUGCAUACAAUUGGUAAAUAGGGUUAUGGUACUAAUGGAAGAAGCAUAGCGUUUUGCUUGCAGGGAGCACAAGUCAACAACUACAUGCAGGCUGCCUUCAAAACGAGUUGUAAAUUUCUUAUAAUCCGGAUUUGAUUUUUAGGAUGGUUGGGUGCGUUGGAUGUUGCUACAUUGCCCCUUUAUCAUGUAAAAAUGUUGUAAAUUUUUUUUUUUUUGACAAAUUUUGGAACUGUAUUUGUUAGGCAUAAGGUGUUAAGGAGGAUAUCAAUGGACAUGGCUGUUUGGCAUUUUGCUUAAAGUUUAGCAAUCUGAGGGUCGGUCUUUAUGUUAUCUUGUGCA